UACGUAGGGGGCCAGCGUUGCUCGGAAUUACUGGGCGUAAAGGGUCCGUAGGCGGUGCGGCAAGUCGGAAGUGAAAUCUCUGGGCUUAACCCAGAGGCUGCUUCCGAAACUGCCGUGCUAGAGUGCGAGAGAGGCGAGUGGAAUUGCGGGUGUAGCGGUGAAAUGCGUAGAUAUCCGCAGGAACAUCCGAGGCGAAGGCGGCUCGCUGGAUCGCAACUGACGCUGAGGGACGAAAGCUAGGGGAGCAAACAGG
rnacentral:rRNA from 1 species